rnacentral:rRNA from 1 species
ACGGAAUGUGCAAACGUUACUCGGAAUCACUGGGCUUAAAGAGUCCGUAGGCGGCAUGUUAGGUGAGGUGUGAAAUCCCCCGGCUCAACCGAGGAAUUGCGCUUCAAACCGGCGUGCUUGAGGAAGAUAGAGGUGGGCGGAACUGAUGGUGGAGCGGUGAAAUGCGUUGAUAUCAUCUGGAAUACCGGAGGCGAAGGCGGCUCACUGGGGGUUUUCUGACGCUGAGGAACGAAAGCCAGGGUAGCGAACGGGA